rnacentral:misc_RNA from 1 species
AACCUAGCACACCUGCGGUGUGUACCUGCGGAAGGAUCAUUACAAGUGACCCCGGUCUAACCACCGGGAUGUUCAUAACCCUUUGUUGUCCGACUCUGUUGCCUCCGGGGCGACCCUGCCUUCGGGCGGGGGCUCCGGGUGGACACUUCAAACUCUUGCGUAACUUUGCAGUCUGAGUAAACUUAAUUAAUAAAUUAAAACUUUUAGCAACGGAUCU